UACCUACGGGGGGCAGCAGUGAGGAAUAUUGCGCAAUGGGGGCAACCCUGACGCAGCGACGCCGCGUGGAUGAUGAAGGCCUUCGGGUCGUAAAAUCCUGUCAGAUGGAAAGAAUGUCCUGAGUGCUAAUAUCACUUGGGGGUGACGGUACCAUCAAAGGAAGCACCGGCUAACUCCGUGCCAGCAGCCGCGGUAAUACGGAGGGUGCAAGCGUUGUUCGGAAUUACUGGGCGUAAAGCGCGCGCAGGUGGUUGAUUAAGUCAGAUGUGAAAGCCCGCGGCGCAACCGGGGACGUGCAGUUGAUACUGGUCGACUGGAGUACUGGAGGGGGUAGUGGAAGUCCCGGUGUAGAGGUGAAAUUCGUAGAUAUCGGGAGGAAUACCGGUGGCGAAGGCGACUACCUGGCCAGAUACUGACACUGAGGCGCGAAAGCGUGGGGAGCAAACAGGAUUAGAUACCCGUGUAGUC
rnacentral:rRNA from 1 species